CCACCACCUGAAGAUGGAAUUUUUUCCAAUCGCGCUCAUUAAAAUUGUGUUUAGCUUUAAGGGUCCAUGAGGAAUUUAGUCAUUUUGAGAUGUUCAUGUGUGUCUUAAUGAUCCCAGCAGAGACCCUCCUGAGCCCACAUGCUGGCUAUUCCCCCGUGGAUCACAGCAGUGUGUGCCACGAGCCAACACUGCACCAUUGGCUGAGUAACUGCGCUUGUUUGAGCUGAGCUAUCUCUCCGUUUACUCACAGCCUCGGUCGAUUUGCCAGCCAGAUCGGCAUAAUCCACAAACAAUUAUCAUAUUUGCCUCAGUGGACAUCUCGGGUUUUUGUUUACGGAUUUAAAAUGGACAAUGUACACAGCUGGGUUUGUAGCAAACACCUUUCUUGGCUGGCGGUGCUCCGUCUGGAACCGGAACAGUAAGAUCCCCACAGAGUCAACUCGACACAUGCAGAGACAUUCAAUCACAAGAAAGGAGCGCAGGCAACAUAUGAAUCCAUCCAGUAAAGCAGCUUCCAGACCGUUCCCAAUGCGAAUGAGAUGUCCCAAAGCCUCGUGCCGUUAUCUGGCCUGGAUGUGAUCCAUACCUCAAUAAAUAUUGCGGGGGGAGGUUUUACAAGCAAAUUUGAAAUCCGACAGAAUGUACUUUGCUUACAACUCAUCACUUUGUUUUUUUCCUACAUUGAAAUCCUAAAACAUGGAUGUACAAUAUAAUAACACAUACAACGCUAAAUUGCGUACUAGUCUAAAUAAGAAUUAAGAAAUAUUUGCUAAAGUCUGUAUGAUUGCUUUCUAAUCAACAUUGUAAUACAUAUUUUUUAUAUUCACAGUGGAUCACGUGACUUCUGAUAGUCAAGUGUAACCAACACGCUGAUUCAGUGGUCUGUCAUUGGAGAAGAAUAAUUUGUCCUUCCCUCCACUAAAGGCUGCUGACCCCUGGAGCCGCUAGCAUGGCUAAAACGUCACAGCCUGGACAUUGUGUCAAAGGCGGGUAUUGAGUGCACGGGUAUGCAGCCUUCUUUUAACCCAGGCGUCCCCCGACCUGCAGGUAAAGAACAGCCGGUUUUAUGCAGCCAAAUCCAGAAAGGAGGCAGAAAGGGACGCGAGGUGUGGUGGGACGCCACUCGCUCCGUGCUCUGGUUGCCAAAAUCCUCCGUGGAGGACAGCGAGGCCUACGAAAUCACAUCGUACCACGGAGCCAUUCAUGAGAGUCCAGAGCUCUCCUGUGUUACGGCCAUUCACCUAGACAGUCCAUUAGGCCGUGACAGGGCACAAGCUGGAGUCUGCCGGACAACCGUCUUUUCAAGAUCUCCUUGGAAGCCACGGCAGUUAAUUGGGUAAUGGGAGAAUGGUACUCUCUGCAAAGGACAAAUAAUCACAGCUAAAAGCAGUCUCUCAUUCUCCCGCCCUGGUUGUGGAAAGAUGGAUGCAUGGCACGGAGUGGAAAACAAGAAGCUGAUGCACGUUCCAUGGUAAAACCCUGAAAAGAGAAGACGUUGGUUUAAUUCCGUCGGCCUAAACUGAAGGCUCAUCACUAUUGCAUCAUUCUGCUGCAAGUUUAUUCUAACACGGUUGACUCCAGAAAACCUUUUAAUCACGGCAGUAUUGAGUUGAAUGCAUUUCCCUCUUGGAGGUUUUGCUUCAAAUGCCUUUGAACAACGCCGGAGACAGCACUGGCCUACAUGUCUUAAGAAGUGCUAUCAAUGAGAUCCCAGGGACGUCAGUGGGAAUGCAGUCUUUAGUCACCUUAAUGAGGGCCUCUAGGAAAAUUGUCACUUCCAGUUAGUGCAGACGGAUGCUCGCAAAUCCUCCCCUCCAAGAGGGGUGGCAAGUCUCUUCUGAAGCUGCACACUGUUGACAGCCAUCUGGGACUUCCGUCUACCUGCAAAAGAAAUGUAAUUGAAAUACAGUAAGGUCAGUAGCAUGAUUAUACCAUCAUGAUUGCAGCGUCCUGAAUGAGGGAUUAUGUUCCCUUUAAAACAUUGUAUUUCACUAGAUUGUCGUGACGAUAGCCCCAAAGUGUGCCAUUUAAAUUGUUUAUGUAAUUCAACUGGAAAAGCAACAUUUUUGUCACAACGGGGUAACUGAAGCAGGACUCAAAUACAAACUUCAAGGGAUAAAAAAUUCUUAAUGAUUUUAUGCAGGCCUUCAAAUUGGCUCUUCUUCCAAUUGUAUAUACAUAAUAAUGUUAAAUGAAACUAUAGCAUUGUAAUUCCUGACAAGGACGAACAAGUCUCCUAAUAAAAGAUGACGUUACAUAGGCUCAAUUCAGAAUAUCCAUACAAACUUCUGCAGCAGCAUUUUGCACUGCUGUCAUCAUCAUACACAUUAUUUGAUUUUAUUAACAUUUUCAAAUCUUGAACUUUAAUUUGGUUCAUGUCAGAUAAAUUACUGCAAUAUCCGCAAUAAAAGAAACAAAGAUCCAGGACACGGUUGUUGAAUAAAACGUAACGACGAAAUGCGUUUGCUGUAUAUUGGCAGUUUUAUUGAUUUUUUUUGUUGAUUGAUUUCAGACAAUACAUGAUAAUGAAAAUAAUCACAAAGAGAAUAGAUAAUACACAGACUGAAAAAACACAUAAUGGGCCUCAUGCCACAAGACAUUGUGACAUGGUGGGAGCGGAAGAUUACAUUACAUUAUUAAUGUUGAUGAUGUAAUGUAAUGUAAUUUCUAAUAAGAUGGACACGGUUGUUGAGUAAAACGUAGGGACAAAAUGGUUUUGAUGUAUAUUGCAGUUUUAUUGAUUCUUGCUGUUGAUUGAUUUCUGACAAUACAAGAUAAUUAUUUAAUAAUCACAAAAAGAAAAGAUAAUACAUAGACUGACAAAGCAUAUAAUGGGCCUCAUGCCACAAGAUGUUGUGACAUAGUGGGAGCAGAAGCUUGGAUAAUAAAAUUAGCAAUGGCUAAGCUACAUUUACCUUCACAUUAUUCAGGUCAAGUUAAAUUGCUCCCUGCAAAAAAAGACCUACUAUGCCUCCUCCACCAGGCACAACAAGAGAGAAGAAACAACAUGAAAGAAAAAUCGGACAUAAAUUCAAGUAAUCAAAAUUUGAACGUUGUCUCUUGUCAUCCAUUGCAGCGUUUGCGGUGGAAUCAGGCUCCUCUGCAUGGGCACAAAAACCGAACUUUGUAGUCGAGGCACGACCCAGAUUUCUGCUGGUUAUUGACGCAAACAAAUCCAUAACCUGGAAUGGAGCUGUAAAAUAGUUCCAAGCAUUAGGUGAAUCAAUACAACAUUUAAAGUAAGGUAGACAAUAAAAUAAUAAAAAGUAUUAAUUUGGUAUUUUUAUGGUGGAUCGCAUAUUUCUUAUCAAGCAACUUACGUGUAGAUAUUCCCUGCGAGGGAUGCUGGGAUGCCUGAGCUCGUGGUAACAGCCUCAAUGGCCACAGGCUGGUUACAGAUUUGUCCAGGAUAUUCCGUCCACAGGUCAACCAAGAGCUCCCAGUCCCCGGUUCCACUGGGAUCGUCUCGGUCGUACCAUGAAGUCCAGCAAACUGCAAUAAAAGAGAGAUGAUGACUGCUGAGGAACAUCAACUUAAAUGCUUAUUUACACAAACAAUGAAAAUCAGGGGAAAUAAUCUUUUCACUAGCAGGUUGAUACUGCACAUGAAUGUGCUCAAAAGUACCUUUUGUUUUACUUUGACUGUUUUUUUAAAUAUAGGGUGGUCAAAAUGUGAACAUUUUAUCUUGACCACCAAACAGAUUUUAAAAACAAAAAUAUGGAAUCUGCUUUUAAAUAUGGGUGGGAUCAUAGCAGGGCCAAGCUAAAUAAGGUAAAAAAAAAAAAAACAGACAAUAAAUGAACUGAGUGGUUGUUCUGUACUUUAUGAAUCAGGAUUGCCACUAAAAAGAAUCACUUACAUUCUUUGUCCACUGGAAUGAUGGUAUCAAGAGCCACUCGCUGGCUGCUUGCUGUUAAAGAUCAUUCGGGAAAAAUAGACUUUACUGUGACUGCAUUUUCUGAUUAUUUUGUAGUCAAAAUUUGGACAUUUGAUCUUGACCAUUGUAGAUAAAUAGAUGAUGAACCUACCACAGAACAAUCCGGCUAAAAUGGCAACGCUGAACUAUUAAAGAAAAUAAAAGGGUUACAUUCAUAGAAUAUGGCAAAUGCAUAAAGAAUGUGUAAAUCCACAUUAAAAAAUAUUAAAAAGUAUACAUUACCAAUUUAUUCAUGAUUGCAGGUAAUGGACUUUUAAUACUGAAAGGAAAGUUGUUAUAAAUUAAACUGCAAUAUCAAAAUAACUUACUCAAGAACAUUCACAGAAAUUUACCAUGUUAAAAUGUAUACCGUCUUUCUUUAUUUAACAAUUUAACCAAACAAUUUCAUGACGAGAAAUGGUUGAAAAAGGGGGUCAAUGAUAUUGCAAGGUAUUCUAAAACUUACCUUUGUCCUUCAAAACAAACGAGUCUUGUCUUCACAAGCUUCUCCUGUUGUCUACACUCACACAUGGUUUUGGAGGCUGUUUAUAUACAGUGCCUGGUAAACCCUCAAGCUUGCUGCAAUCACAUACUAUAGACCCCACCCACAGAGAAAAUUUAAAACAUCUGGCAAGAUUGUGGACUGGUCUGAGAUAGCCCACAGCAAUUGGCCUAGUUUUUUUUUGGGACUAACUAAAGAAUGUUUGUCUUAACGUUAAGUGCUUCAGGUGUGCUGAGGUGGACCCACGAGUCACAGUGAGUUGCCUACAACGUUAUGUUACCACAAUAAUUCUUACCUAUGGGAGCGUUGAAUGAAACACUGCCCUGCUCACUUUAUUGCUUCUAUGUGUUGUGGCAAUGCAACAUGUCUUUAUUUCUAGUUGUUAGUUGAAUGGCUUAUUCCUGAACAUUGCAUGCAUGUGCAUGCAGAUGUCUCAUCCUGACCUCACAAACUCUUAGCCAUCCGACCCAAACAAGCCGAAUUCACAAAGGUAUAUCAUCAAACGUACAUCAUGUUAAACUUGCUUUUACCCUGAAAUCACAAUCCAAAUCUAUUCCAUGAAGGCAGCAGAACCUUCCAAAGACUUGGUGCCCACAUGCAAAGAGGGAAAAAAGGGAUAAUGUGCACCUGAAGUGAGCUGAUGUUUUUGUCUGGAGUAAAUAUGUUCUGUUAAAUCCAUUGACUUUUGUUGAGACCUCCAAAACCAUCCGUGUGAAAGAGCUCAUCUAUUCAGCAGAAAAAGAAAACUUUCUGACAGAUGCAAAUAACAUGAGCUGCAUGCAAAUAAUCCAAAGAUAAUGUAUCCUACUCCUCUAUAUAUGAUAUUUGAUUUCAUUAUACCAAUAUUAUUAUUCAAUAGAGAAAAACUGUAUUGUCACUCCCGUCUCCCCACUGACAUCUCAUUUGCGAUGCGGCAAAUGUUUACAUUUUUCAUAUUUUAGAUCUCGCUUAAAGAAGUGAAAAGCUCAAAGAACACAGAAUGUAUGUUGGUAGGUCAGCCAGAUUAUAUCCCCAAACUGGUAAAACAAGUUGUUCAGGCUCACAACAGCUUUUGUUCAGCGCCUGGAAAAGUUUACCAAAGAACACUUAUUUAGACUAUAUAUAUGUAAUUAAAUGUUGUAAUCCCAAAUUUCAAAAUAUUUUACGACCUCCAAUGACCAGAAAAAACAUCUUUAUUAACUCAGGCACAUUAUUGAAAUAUCAAUCUUUCACUUGAUAUGUUUUACCAAAUUCCUACCCCAAGCUAUGAAGCAGAAUUAGCUCUCAUUUAGAGGCUUUGUCCAUCGAUCAGUAAUAUACAGUAUAUGGUUCUUUUAACCUGGUUCCUUCGUCUCUAGUCAGUUAGAACAGAAAAUGGUAAAGUUGCCAGCUGUGAAACCAUGACGAUGGUCAAAGAGCUGAGAAGAUCAGUAGAGGUCAGAUCAUGUGACGGGAGGUUCAUCAGAUCAUAUCUCAAACAGGUAAAACAUGCUGGGGAGGCCCACAUGAUCACAAAGACCUUUGUAAAUGUCCUUUUCCUCAAGUGUAUGGCUGUGUGUGUGUGUGUGUGUACGUGCAUACCCACACACAUAAACACACACAAAACGUACAUUGUUAAUUAAGACACACAACAGUAUAAUGUAUCAUUUUAUUUGAUUACAACAAAGCCACGGCGGGAUGGUGGCGUGGUGGUUAGGCGGUUUGCAGAUGGAUGGACGGAUGGAUGGACAACACAGACAGACUUGUUUUUUUACUGUAUCACGGUAGAAGGCUUGAGAAGUAAGACAACAUUUUUUUACAAUAUGACUUAUCUUCCUGUUCUCACUCACAGUGACGACUGUGUUUAUAAGAUGCCUGAAGGGUCGAAAAGUCCGUCAAGGAGGAUAAUUUAGCCUAACUAGGUUAAAAAGUGAAUGACUAGCAAAAUAAAAAGGAGGGGGGAAGAAAGCAGAAGAAAACGGUUUGAAAUGUUGUAAAAAAAAUUGAAAAUGUGGUGACAAGGGAAAAUUUCACCAGAUUUCACCACUGUUCGACCACUGUGAUGGCCCAGCCGGUGAGCAGGGCCCCACGUGGCGAGAAACAGCCAGGAGAGGGCCACCAAGAGGCAUGGUAGUGGAAGGGCGGUGCUACCCCAGGUUCCCCUCCCAGGUUUCGGUAAUCACGCAGGCAAUCAGGAGCCUGUUUUAAACCUUCCUCCCAGGAGACACGAAGGAGGAAGCGAGCGGGACAAUCGGAACGCAAGGAGAGUGAGACCCAGGGAUGUUGCGCAGCAAAAGGAGUCUGACUAAAUAUAUUCUCUCUCUUCUGCACCAGAAGGAAUCUGGCGAAGCCCCGAUGUCCCUGACCACCCCGGUGAAGAACUUUUGAGUUUUCCUUUUCUCACCCUUUUCCCCCCUCUCCCCUUUGCAUUAUUUGAUAAUAAACCUUAAUUCUACCGUAACCCUGCUUUUCGUCAGCCUCGCUUCUCCCCUGGGACGACCCCGCGAGGUCGGGCGCUCACACCACCCAUUCGUACAACCAGAACUAUGCGACAUGUACAUGUGUUUUUUUUAAUAAAAUAAUAUUGUAUUGCUAAAGUUUUUUUCCCUGCCACAAUUUGCCAUCGCAAAUUUGAUAGAUCGUCACAUGUUGUCAUCUCUACCACUAAGUGUGCUUUUUUUGUUUGAAUUCCAACACCCGCCAUCUCUAAUUAUAAAGAGAUGAAUCGGGUGCAAAUCUAGAUUCCCAGUUUCUUUUAGAAACUCGCACAAGACGUUCUUGCCCUGCUGCAUUAUCCGCCCUCUGCAGUGCUUUGGUAAAAACUAAUGAAUGAAUUGCCCUUUGAGAAGAAUAGCUACCUGCCUCUGUUCAAUAGCAGCUCGGGAUGGUCUCCGUCUAUUCAUUCAUCAGCAUUAUAUUUUGUCAUCUGAAGGGGACGGUGUAAUAUUUUACACUAAAUUGUGCUUUGGACUGGAUACCAAAGUACAAAUGACAACAUGGUGUAGACUCAAUUAUCAUUUCCAAUGUCCCAAACAUACAUAGUCUCUCUCUGUCUCUGUCUCUGUGUCUGUCUCUCUCUGUCUCUUUCCCCGUCUCCAUGGAGAACCUUGGCGUCUCCAUCCUCCCGAGGUGAAAGAUGUGAGUGCAGACUCUCUGUUGACCAUCACUUCAUACGGAUGGAGCUCUAUGACGACACCAUUAUUUAGGAGCAUCUCAAAUACAGACUCGCUUUGUGGAUCAUCUAUCUUUGAGUGCGUUCAUCUCAUAAUAUAAAGAAGACAUGUUCAUAUGGAACCUAUUAGUACAGGAAGUUGUUGUGAAGUGAUAUAGAUCAAGGUAACACUCAUAGCUUGGCGGUCCUUUAACAUAAUACGUAAUAACAGUAGAGUAAACUUGAAAUAAAGCAAAGUGAACAGAGUUACAACACCAAAUCUGACCUUUCACUGCCGGGACACAAGCCUCUUACUCUGACACCUAUAUGACAGUGUUGAUGUUGUCCCUUCGAAAACCCAAAACUCUUUGGAUUGGACAUCGAAGGCAUUGUUUGUAGGAAAAGAUAAUAGUUUGGAACUAAAUAAAUGCAAAGCUGUUUUCUUUCAACACAAUUUUGAGGCUGUUAAAAUAUUAAAUGAUGUUAACUUGUGUAACAUGUGGGGAAGUGCAAAGUUGAGUGUUUUUCACAUAAAAAGGAUCUGUUAAUUAAUUUUAAAAUAUUGAAAUAUUGAUUGUAGACGCUUUAAAUGUAUUAUUUCAUUGCUGUAUGUCUUACAAACUAAAUCAAAUCAACACCUGGGCAAAGAAAAACCAAAUACAUCUGCACGAACAUGUUGGUUCUGUUUUGAAUAUGGGUGAAACAAUUACCUCAAAUACGUGAAAUGUAUUGGAAAUGUAGUGUAUAUUAACGAUUAUGUUUAUUAUAUUCACACAUUAUCUUAUAUAAUAAAAAAAGUUUCUUCUCUUUCAA